rnacentral:lncRNA from 1 species
UCCGACUUGGAGCGCGGCUGGCUGCGGGCAGAGAAGGAGGGGGUCAGACGGCCGGUCCCUCCCUGGAGCUCCAGCUCCACUUAGUGCUCAUCUUCUCAGCGCUUUUGCGUUCCAUUGGAGGAGCAUAUUCACACUAAAAAAAGACCACUUUCUAGAUUGAGGACAUGCGUCACUCUAGCAUCUGAGGAUCCCACCUUCACUUUGUGAGAGCACAGCAAAACUGGGCAAGAGAUCAGCAAGCAGCCCUGUCCUGCCUAGAAGAAGUGGAAGGAAAAGAAGAAGGAAAGUGGUUAUUCCAAGGGAAAACAUAGCCUAAAGCCUGGCUCCAGUUGGUACCAUCCACACGUGCGGCCAUUAGUGCAUGCUCUUUGUGAUAUGAGAAGCACAUCACCAAAGCUAGGCUGAGACAAGAGAAUGACUUUCCCUGUCAAUCUUUGGCAGCCAUCUAAGUGAACUCUGCACCUAAACUAAGCGGAAGCAGAAACAGAACUUUCUCUCCAACUAUUUAUAGGAGGAGGAAAUCUCUGCUUGAGCAGACUGACAUACACUAUCUCCAUUCAUUUAUACAUCCGUCUCCAUACACUUCAUUGGAAAGUCAAGCCCGUCUGUAUCCAAAUGUUCAAUCUACAUUUUCAUACAUCCAUACACAGUCCUAUGUCCAUAUAAAAACAAAAGUACAUAUUUGGUUUUAACUCAGAAUUAUCUCACUACAUGAUUCUAUUUGUGGCCUAAAGAUAUUUCAAUGAUUAAAAUUUUCAAAGGCAAGGGAAAGAUAAAACUAGAUCAGUUACACAUUCCUCUACACUCCUUCUGGCUUCUGAAAUACACUGUACAUAUGUAGAUGGUAUGGCUUUUCCAUAUGGCACCCACAGCUGGCAUUAUAUGGACCCAAGUGCCUUCUGCGUAAUAUGGCAAAGAAACUUAAAAGCUGGAUUCAGAACAGGUGCCCCUCAAGGACUCUGGGAAGCAAAGAGCUGUGCAGGAAACAAGAGGCUGGAAGACAUAAGGGAGCAGAUUAGUCCGUUUUAAAACUAGCCUGAUUUACAG